rnacentral:rRNA from 1 species
GUAGUCCAUGCUGUAAACGAUGAUAACUAGAUGUUGGGAGGUUAAACCUGUCAGUAUCGAAGCUAACGCGAUAAGUUAUCCGCCUGGGGAGUACGACCGCAAGGUUAAAACUCAAAGGAAUUGACGGGGACCCGCACAAGCGGUGGAGCAUGUGGUUUAAUUCGAUGCAACGCGAAGAACCUUACCUACCCUUGACAUCCUUCGAAUCUUGCAGAGAUGCGAGAGUGCCGAAAGGAGCGAAGAGACAGGUGCUGCAUGGCUGUCGUCAGCUCGUGUCGUGAGAUGUUGGGUUAAGUCCCGUAACGAGCGCAACCCUUGUCCUUAGUUGCCAGCACGUAAAGGUGGGAACUCUAAGGAGACUGCCGGUGAUAAACCGGA